rnacentral:lncRNA from 1 species
ACGCGUAUGUGUGGUGCAGCGAGGAGAAUAACCACCAAUGCCCGGGUAUUUGUGGUGCAAAGUGCCAUUUGAAGCGGUGAAAUUUAGACGUCUCUCUCGCGCGCGUAUGUUUUGGUAUAGGUAUCGAUCGGCCAGCUAGUUUGUUUUCAAUUUUGACAGAACGAACGAUACCGUUGUUUUCCUUUUUUGAGGAUCCAGUUUGUACCUCGAUGUCCUGAUUUUGUGUCAUGAUAGAUCUUCAUCCAUAUAAUCGAACCCUGGUAGAAGUAUUAUCAUCAGAUGCAUUAGAACCAGCUUUAUUUCAUCUUUGGUCUUCAUACCAUCAUACAGACUCUCAGCUGUACCAUUAUAGGUGGAUUGAAAGAUCAAUAUUCAUGCAGUUAAAAUGCCCUGGUAGAAGUAUUAUCAUCAGAUGCAUUAGAACCAGCUUUAUUUCAUCUUUGGUCUUCAUACCAUCAUUCAGACUCUCAGCUGUACCAUUAUAGGUGGAUUGAAAGAUCAAUAUUUAUGCAGUUAAAAUGCCCUGGUAGAAGUAUUAUCAUCAGAUGCAUUAGAACCAGCUUUAUUUCAUCUUUGGUCUUCAUACCAUCAUUCAGACUCUCAGCUGUACCAUUAUAGCCCUGGUAGAAGUAUUAUCAUCAGAUGCAUUAGAACCAGCUUUAUUUCAUCUUUGGUCUUCAUACCAUCAUACAGACUCUCAGCUGUACCAUUAUAGGUGGAUUGAAAGAUCAAUAUUCAUGCAGUUAAAAUGCCCUGGUAGAAGUAUUAUCAUCAGAUGCAUUAGAACCAGCUUUAUUUCAUCUUUGGUCUUCAUACCAUCAUACAGACUCUCAGCUGUACCAUUAUAGAUGCUGUAAGUAGAAAUGGAAGGUGUCCAUCCCUCUGAACUGCCUUAUACCUGCCUGCACCCAGUCAUCUUGGCGUCUACAUGCUCAAAUAUUUUUAAUAAGAAAU